UACGGGGGGAGCAAGCGUUGUUCGGAUUUACUGGGCGUAAAGGGCGCGUAGGCGGCCACCGCAAGUCGGUUGUGAAAUCUCUGGGCUUAACCCAGAAAGGUCAACCGAUACUGCGGGGCUAGAGUGCAGAAGGGGCAACUGGAAUUCUCGGUGUAGCGGUGAAAUGCGUAGAUAUCGAGAGGAACACCUGCGGCGAAGGCGGGUUGCUGGGCUGACACGUGACGCUGAAGCGCGAAAGCUAGGGGAGCGAACGGGA
rnacentral:rRNA from 1 species